rnacentral:lncRNA from 1 species
AUCCCGUUCGUGAGUUCCUUCCAGAACAGCCGAGAUCCUGUUCCGCUUAUCCCUUCCCUUCCGGAUGAGAACCAGGAACCAUACUUCGUCCGGAUUUGCUCCCAGCAUCUUCAACGUCCGUUUUCUUCUUCCGGGAUCUUCUCACACACCCAAAUCCGAACCACCUUAUCCCAGCAUCCUCAUUCCUCUUCCGAACCAGUUCUUCUCCCCUGUUCCACGUCCACGUUUGACCCCGGAUCCCAUCUUUCCCGUGAUCAACUUCAUCCCAGAACAAACUUCCUCCUCUUCCGGAUUCCUCCCAUCUGCGUGUCUUCCCUCUUUCGAACCAAGCCAUCAGCUUCAUCCGCAUCCCCUGUUUCACGCUCAAUCCAUUCGUAAUCAUCCAUGGCCAGCCGUUCCCAAGCUUCACGGAAGUUUCAUCUAAACUGCCAACCGAAUCCCAUGAUUUUUUCCCACGCGUCUGGUUCACUUCCCCUGUUCCCAGCUGUCAGCCGAGACCCCAAACUUCUCUCUGUUUCGGAACCAACUCCCAUCCCGCUUGUGAUUCCCUGCAUCCCAAAGCAGAAUCCCAUGAUCCACGGGAUAAACCCAAAUCCAAUUCUUCCAGCAUCUCCUCUCAGCCGAGAACACCACCCCCUGAUCCCAGCCUCAAAACAGAUUUCAUCCUUAUCCCACGGAUCUCCCAGCUCAUCCCCUGCUCACAGAUUCAACCAACUAGCCGACUUCAUCCCAUUCCGAUCCUAG